rnacentral:rRNA from 1 species
AUUGAACGCUGGCGGCAGGCCUAACACAUGCAAGUCGAGCGGAUGAAGGGAGCUUGCUCCUGGAUUCAGCGGCGGACGGGUGAGUAAUGCCUAGGAAUCUGCCUGGUAGUGGGGGAUAACGUCCGGAAACGGGCGCUAAUACCGCAUACGUCCUGAGGGAGAAAGUGGGGGAUCUUCGGACCUCACGCUAUCAGAUGAGCCUAGGUCGGAUUAGCUAGUUGGUGGGGUAAAGGCCUACCAAGGCGACGAUCCGUAACUGGUCUGAGAGGAUGAUCAGUCACACUGGAACUGAGACACGGUCCAGACUCCUACGGGAGGCAGCAGUGGGGAAUAUUGGACAAUGGGCGAAAGCCUGAUCCAGCCAUGCCGCGUGUGUGAAGAAGGACUUCGGAUUGUAAAGCACUUUAAGUUGGGAGGAAGGGCAGUAAGUUAAUACCUUGCUGUUUUGGCGUUACCAACAGAAUAAGCACCGGCUAACUUCGUG